rnacentral:rRNA from 1 species
GCUACUGCUAUCGGGGUUCGAUUAAGCCAUGCGAGUUAAAUGUUCUUCGUGAACAUAGCGAACUGCUCAGUAACACGUGGAUAACCUACCCUUAGGCCCGGAAUAACCCCGGGAAACUGGGGAUAAUACCGGAUAAGCCAUAGGCGCUGGAAUGCCCUAUGGUUCAAAGCUCCGGCGCCUAAGGAUGGAUCUGCGGUCUAUCAGGUUGUAGUGGGUGUAACGUACCUACUAGCCGACGACGGAUACGGGUUGUGAGAGCAAGAGCCCGGAGAUGGAUUCUGAGACACGAAUCCAGGCCCUACGGGGUGCAGCAGGCGCGAACACUUUACAAUGCGGGAAACCGCGAUAAGGGAACCCCGAGUGCCAGCAUCAAAUGUUGGCUGUCCAGAUGAUUAAAAAUCAUUUGUUAGCAAGGGCCGGGCAAGACCGGUGCCAGCCGCCGCGGUAACACCGGCGGCCCGAGUGGUAGCCGUUUUUAUUGGGUCUAAAGGGUCCGUAGCCGGCCUGAUAAGUCCUUUGGGAAAUCUGGCAGCUUAACUGUCAGGCUUCUAAGGGAUACUGUCAGGCUUGGGACCGGAAGAGGUAAGGGGUACUCCAGGGGUAGGAGUGAAAUCUUGUAAUCCCUGGGGGACCAUCUGUGGCGAAGGCGCCUUACCAGAACGGGUCCGACGGUGAGGGACGAAAGCUAGGGGAGCAAACCGGAUUAGAUACCCGGGUAGUCCUAGCUGUAAACGAUGCUCGCUAGGUGUCAGACACGGUGCGACCGUGUUUGGUGCCGCAGGGAAGCCGUUAAGCGAGCCACCUGGGAAGUACGGUCGCAUGGCUGAAACUUAAAGGAAUUGGCGGGGGAGCACUACAACGGGUGGAGCCUGCGGUUUAAUUGGAUUCAACGCCGGGAA